AUGAGGCGGUAGCGGACCGCGGAGUCGAGACCUACCCGAACGACGCGGGCGAGCGGGGCUUUGGACGCCGGUGGAGACGCAGGCGAGCAGGAAGAAGAUGAGCCUUAGGUCUGAACGCCGAGGAAUUCAUGUGGAUCCUGUGCAAGAAAGGAUGUGGUUACUGUGGCAACCCUACCUGGCAGGGUUUCUGCUCCAAGUGCUGGAGGGAAGAGUAGCACAAAGCCAGGCAGAAGCAGAUUCAGGAGUACUGGGAGCUGGUGGAACGACUCCAGCGGGAGGAAGAAGAGGCCUUUGCCAGCAGUCAGAGCAGCCAAGGGGCCCAAUCCCUCACAUUCUCCAAGUUUGAAGGAAAGAAAACCAACAAGAAGACCCGCAAGGUUACCACAGUGAAGAAAUCUUCAGUACGUCUUCCAGGGUCGGAUCAAAGAAGGAUAUUGAAAUGGAUUCCAGGCGUGUGCCUCGAGACAAGCUGGCCUGCAUCACCAAGUGCAGCAAGCACAUCUUCGAUGCCAUCAAGAUCACCUAGAACGAGCUGGCGUCAGCAGAUGACUUCCUCCCCACCCUCAUCUACAUUGUUUUGAAGGGCAACCCCCAUGCCUUCAGUCUAAUAUCCAGUAUAUCACGUGCUUCUGCAAUCCAAGCCGACUGAUGACUGGAGAGGAUGGCUACUAUUUCACCAAUCUGAGGCUGGGCACUCACUGCAGCUGGCUAAUGAUGACCAUGUGGACAUGCUUUCGGGCCUUCAGGAUCUUCUCCAGCCAGUGGAUGUCGUACGUGUUGGGGUUCCGGAAAGGGAUGUCAGGUGGUGGCUCACACCUGCGAUCCCAGCACUUUGGGAGGCCAAGGCGGGUGGAUCGCUUGAGCCCAGAAGAUCAAGACCAGUCUGGGCAACAUGGUGAAACCUCGUCUCUACUAAAAAUAGAAAAAUUAGCCGGGAGUGGUGGCGCACGCUUGUAGUCCCAGCUACUUGAGAGGCUGGGGCAGGAGGAUUGCCUAAGCCCAUGAGGUGGAGGCUGCAGUGAGCAGACAUUGCACCACUGUACUCCAGCCUGGGCAACAGAGUGAGACGCUGUUUAAAAAAAAAAAAAGAAAAUCAACAUACACAAAAUGUGGGUCAUGGGCAGAGCAGCCAUGUCCCCAGGGAGCAGGCAGGCCAGCUGGGGGCUCCUGAAGGCUAGGCUGGCUGCAGAGGGAGGGAGGGCCUCCCCCUUUCCCCGGGAGGAGGGCUUGGUGUGCUGACCCUGACCACAGACACUGACUGUAUUUCUCGUUGAAGAGUUCCUUCACCUGCUCCUGCAGGAUCACCUCCCCAAGUCUGUUGGUAUCAUCUUCAUCUAAAGAGGAAGACAAGGGGGCCUGAGAGUUGGCACUGGCUUGGCCACCAGACCUGCUGCUUCUCCCACCAGGCAUCCCUGACCUGCCAAAACAUUCUCUGCAGGCCCUGCCUACUCCCAUGCAGCUGUUUGUUUGUUUAGUUACGUAUUUAUUUUAUUUAAUUAAUUAAUUAAUUUAUUUUUUGA
rnacentral:lncRNA from 1 species